UAAAGGGAUCAUCAUAUUUCCCUGUGGCGGAAGUUUAGGUUGGACCGAGUCACGUUCGAAAUAGCAGGAGGUCGAGUUGGGUCGUAUCAUAUUCGAAAUGACAUAGAGCUGGUUCAGUUAUGUCACAAUCGAGAUCGAUAAGCACUGUAUCUGUACACUUUAAGUAAAUUAUUUGUAUUUUUUUAAUAACUGAAGUUUUUGAAAUUAAUGAUUAACGCCAACUAUCCGACAUAUUUGAUAGUUAUUCUAUUCUUUUAGC
rnacentral:lncRNA from 1 species